GAUGAACGCUGGCGGCAGGCCUAACACAUGCAAGUCGAACGGCAGCACAGAGGAGCUUGCUCCUUGGGUGGCGAGUGGCGGACGGGUGAGGAAUACGUCGGAAUCUGCCUAUUUGUGGGGGAUAACGUAGGGAAACUUACGCUAAUACCGCAUACGACCUACGGGUGAAAGUGGGGGACCUUCGGGCCUCACGCAGAUAGAUGAGCCGACGUCGGAUUAGCUAGUUGGCGGGGUAAAGGCCCACCAAGGCGACGAUCCGUAGCUGGUCUGAGAGGAUGAUCAGCCACACUGGAACUGAGACACGGUCCAGACUCCUACGGGAGGCAGCAGUGGGGAAUAUUGGACAAUGGGCGCAAGCCUGAUCCAGCCAUGCCGCGUGUGUGAAGAAGGCCUUCGGGUUGUAAAGCACUUUUGUCCGGAAAGAAAAGCUUAGGGUUAAUAACCUUGAGUCAUGACGGUACCGGAAGAAUAAGCACCGGCUAACUUCGUGCCAGCAGCCGCGGUAAUACGAAGGGUGCAAGCGUUACUCGGAAUUACUGGGCGUAAAGCGUGCGUAGGUGGUUUGUUAAGUCUGAUGUGAAAGCCCUGGGCUCAACCUGGGAAUGGCAUUGGAAACUGGCUUACUGGAGUGCGGUAGAGGGGUGUGGAAUUCCCGGU
rnacentral:rRNA from 1 species